rnacentral:rRNA from 1 species
GACGAACGCUGGCGGCGUGCCUAAUACAUGCAAGUUGAGCGCUGAAGGUUGGUACUUGUACCAACUGGAUGAGCAGCGAACGGGUGAGUAACGCGUGGGGAAUCUGCCUUUGAGCGGGGGACAACAUUUGGAAACGAAUGCUAAUACCGCAUAAAAACUUUAAACACAAGUUUUAAGUUUGAAAGAUGCAAUUGCAUCACUCAAAGAUGAUCCCGCGUUGUAUUAGCUAGUUGGUGAGGUAAAGGCUCACCAAGGCGAUGAUACAUAGCCGACCUGAGAGGGUGAUCGGCCACAUUGGGACUGAGACACGGCCCAAACUCAUACGGGAGGCAGCAGUAGGGAAUCUUCGGCAAUGGAAGAAAGUCUGACCGAGAAACGCCGCGUGAGUGAAGAAGGUUUUCGGAUCGUAAAACUCUGUUGGUAGAGAAGAACGUUGGUGAGAGUGGAAAGCUCAUCAAGUGACGGUAACUACCCAGAAAGGGACGGCUAACUACGUG